rnacentral:rRNA from 1 species
GAUGAACGCUAGCGACAGGCUUAACACAUGCAAGUCGAGGGGCAGCAUGAUUUGUAGCAAUACAGAUUGAUGGCGACCGGCGCACGGGUGAGUAACGCGUAUGCAACUUACCUAUCAGAGGGGGAUAGCCCGGCGAAAGUCGGAUUAAUACCCCAUAAAACAGGGGUCCCGCAUGGGAAUAUUUGUUAAAGAUUCAUCGCUGAUAGAUAGGCAUGCGUUCCAUUAGGCAGUUGGCGGGGUAACGGCCCACCAAACCGACGAUGGAUAGGGGUUCUGAGAGGAAGGUCCCCCACAUUGGUACUGAGACACGGACCAAACUCCUACGGGAGGCAGCAGUGAGGAAUAUUGGUCAAUGGCCGAGAGGCUGAACCAGCCAAGUCGCGUGAAGGAAGAAGGAUCUAUGGUUUGUAAAACUUCUUUUAUAGGGGAAUAAAGUGGAGACGUGUGGGAGCUUGUAUGUACCUUAUGAAUAAGCAUCGGCUAACUCGUGCCAGCAG